AUGGCCGGCGCCACCCUCGCCGCCGCGAGAUUCCCCGCGGCCGUUGCGCUCCUCCGCACUCGCCGCUCCCCGGUGGUCGCCGUGCCGCUCGCCCCGUCCGGUCUCCGCCACCACCGCCGCAGCGUCGCCAUGGCCACCGGCGCCGCGCCCUCACCCAUUCCCGCCUCCGAUCCGCUUCCCAAGGUUUCUGAUCUAUUUUUCCGGUCAGUUCUCUCAAACAUGCAAAAAGUUUAUUUGAGCAGGAAUCCAACUGCCGAAAAGAUUCUGGACCUUGUCCAUUCUUACGAUGGGGACCACAUUUGUUUUGAUCACUUUGCUUUCAGAACAUUUGGGGUUGAUGGUUAUGGUAUAGACUCACUUGCUGAAUUUUUUACUGAUUUUGGUUACGAGUCUCGUGAAGAACUAAGGUUCCCAGCGAAAAAACUAAGAGCACUAUGGUUUUCCCCUCCCAACAAUGAUGGAUACACCAGAGCUGGUAUAUAUGGACCUUUGCCAAGGAUAUUCAUUUCUGAACUUCUUGUAGAUGAGCUGAGUGCUCCGAGCCAGGAAAUUAUACGGAAAUACAUCAAAACAUCAGCUAAUGGAAAUAAAUAUGCUGUUCUUGCAAGUACAUUUGGAGAGCUGACAUGGGAGAAGCCCACUUAUUCUGAUUUCCAGGUUUUAUCUAGGGAAAGUGAAUAUGCUGGAUGGACUCUUGUUAAUGGCUAUGCACUGAACCAUGCCACAGUCUCCACUCAUCGCUUAGAGUCAGAUAUCAGAAGUAUUAGUAAAUUCAACAAAUUUGUGGAGGACAACGGGUUCAAGUUAAAUACAGAAGGAGGAAUUUUGAAAGUGAGUCCUGACGGUCUCCUCCAGCAAAGCUCAACUGUAGCUGAUUCAUCAUUAUUUACUUUUGCGGAUGGAAUCACUGAAUCUAUUCCACGUUCCUAUAUUGAAUUUGCUGAACGGCUGCCACUUCCACAGUUCAGAGAUUUGCAAGAUGAAGAGGUCAAGGAACACCACAGGCGCGAUGGUUUUGAGGUGGGCAACGCAGACAAGAUAUUUGAGAGCACUUCAAAGGAUCAGCUUACCAGAAGGUCUGCAUAA
rnacentral:rRNA from 1 species